AUACGGAGGGUGCAAGCGUUACUCGGAAUCACUGGGCGUAAAGCGCGCGCAGGCGGCUAUUUAAGUUGGAUGUGAAAGCCUACGGCUCAACCGUAGAACUGCAUCCAAAACUAUUUAGCUAGAGUGUGGGAGAGGAACAUGGAAUUAGUUGUGUAGGGGUAAAAUCCGUAGAGAUAACUAGGAAUACCAAAAGCGAAGGCAAUCUUCUGGAACACUACUGACGCUGAGGCGCGAAAGCGUGGGGAGCAAACAGGAGUAGAUACCCUAGUAGUCC
rnacentral:rRNA from 1 species